ensembl:lncRNA OVOL1-AS1 OVOL1 antisense RNA 1
GCUUCCUAGCCAGUAAUCCUUUCAAAUCUCCAGGGUGCUUGCAACCAUCUUCACCUCUUCCCAGGGGAAAGAUUCUGCCCCGGGAGAUUCUCUCCUUGCCAUGGGGAUGAGGACAAAUUCUCCCUUCAUCCUUGAGAUUGGACUCCCGCCACACAUCCUGGAGGAGCCUACAGAGAAGCCGGCAGGUCUCCCUCACCUGGAUGGUGCCAGCGGGUGGCCUGGACCACCCAGAGGCCCUCUCCUGCACCUGACAGGAAGCCCCUGGGGCAUACGUCUCCCCUGCCACUUCCACUGUGGCCACUGGAAGUGUGGCAGAGAAAAUAGCUAGGACAAAAAGAAGUCAAUGAUUUCAACCAACGGAAUUUCUUUGUCCUUUGUAAAAAUCAACACAUGAUCUGUUACUGAUUGGGAUGUGAAAUAAAACUAAAAAUAACAGCACACUGAGCCUGGCUCAGGGCUCAGCUCACCUUUA